rnacentral:tRNA from 1 species
GGGCGACUAGCUCAGUUGGUUAGAGCGCUUCCCUUACAAGGAAGAAGUCACAGGUUCGAGUCCUGUGUUGCCCA